rnacentral:rRNA from 1 species
UACGAAGGGGGCUAGCGUUGCUCGGAAUCACUGGGCGUAAAGGGUGUGUAGGUGGCGCGCUAAGUCGGGUGUGAAAUUUCGGAGCUUAACUCCGAAACUGCAUUCGAUACUGGCGUGCUUGAGGACUGGAGAGGAGACUGGAAUUCAUGGUGUAGCAGUGAAAUGCGUAGAGAUCAUGAGGAAGACCAGUGGCGAAGGCGGGUCUCUGGACAGUUCCUGACACUGAGGCACGAAGGCCAGGGGAGCAAACGGG